AAAGAUUAAGCCAUGCACGUCUAAGUAUAAGCACUCAUACUGUGAAACUGCGAAUGGCUCAUUAAAUCAGUUAUCGUUUAUUUGAUAGUACCUUACUACUUGGAUACCCGUGGUAAUUCUAGAGCUAAUACAUGCUAAAAACCCCGACUUCGGAAGGGGUGUGUUUAUUAGAUAAAAAACCAAUGCCCUUCGGGGCUGCUUGAUGAUUCAUGAUAACCAAACGAAUCGCAUGGCCUUGAGCCGGCGAUGGUUCAUUCAAAUUUCUGCCCUAUCAACUUUCGAUGGUAGGAUCUGGGCCUACCAUGGUAUCAACGGGUAACGGGGAAU
rnacentral:rRNA from 1 species